AGAUUGAACGCUGGCGGAAUGCUUUACACAUGCAAGUCGAACGGCAGCACGGGGGCAACCCUGGUGGCGAGUGGCGCACGGGUGAGUAAUACAUCGGAACGUAUCCUAGAGUGGGGGAUAGCCAGGCGAAAGCCGGAUUAAUAUCGCAUACGCUCGAAAGAGGAAAGUGGGGGAUCGUAAGACCUCACGCCCAAGGAGCGGCCGAUGCCGGAUUAGCUUGUUGGUGAGGUAAAAGCUCACCAAGGCGACGAUCCGUAGCUGGUCUGAGAGGACGACCAGCCACACUGGGACUGAGACACGGCCCAGACUCCUACGGGAGGCAGCAGUGGGAAUUUGGACAAUGGGGAAACCUGAUCCAGCCAUUCCGCGUGAGUGAAGAAGGCCUUGGGUUGUAAAGCUACUUUCGGCUAGGAACGAAACGGUUAGGCUAAUACCCCAGACUACUGACGGUACCUGAAGAAGAAGCACCGGCUAACUACGGCCAGCAGCCGC
rnacentral:rRNA from 1 species